rnacentral:lncRNA from 1 species
AGGUGGAGAAACUGCUUGAUUUAUGAGUUUGUGAUGGUGUUGAGAUAGAGCAUAUUUAAUAAGUUUCAGCACUUCAUUUUCUUUCAUCUUUAAUCUUAUGUGUUUUGUAAUGAAAUGAAGAAGAAGUAUAAUUUGUGUAAUGAGACACUAUCCUUGUAUAUAAGCUUAAAUUGAGAGUUUUGUUUGUGUUCUUUCAUUUUAAGUUUAUUCAUCAUUUGAUUAAUCAUAACUAUAACUUGAAGGGAAGCAACGGUAAAAUUAUAUUUGUGUGAACUAUAUAUUAAUUGUGUUUGUGUGACCUAUAAAUUAAGGUUCGAGCUACGAAAGCAGCUACAAAUAUUUAUAUUAGUAUAGGCAAUUUAUAUUAUACCCCUUGAAAUGUAGUUCUUUAUUGAAUUAUGCGCUUUGUGCACCUCUUUACUUGAAUGUAGUCUGCUUUGUGCACGUGGCCGUUCUCUUACGCCUACCAUAACUUCUUUCUGCUUAACUUGAGUAGAUGAAAUCUUUGGGUAUGUUAAACUUGGG